rnacentral:misc_RNA from 1 species
GAUGAAGAACGUAGCGAAAUGCGAUAAGUAGUGUGAAUUGCAGAAUUCAGUGAAUCAUCGAAUCUUUGAACGCACAUUGCGCCCUUUGGUAUUCCAAAGGGCAUGCCUGUUCGAGCAUCAUUUGUACCCUCAAGCUUUGCUUGGUGUUGGGCGUCUUGUCUCUAGCUUUGCUGGAGACUCGCCUUAAAGUAAUUGGCAGCCGGCCUACUGGUUUCGGAGCGCAGCACAAGUCGCACUCUCUAUCAGCAAAGGUCUAGCAUCCAUUAAGCCUUUUUUUCAACUUUUGACCUCGGAUCAGGUAGGGAUACCCGCUGAACUUAAGCAUAUCAAUAAGCGGAGGA